GAUGAACGCUGGCGGCGUGCCUAACACAUGCAAGUCGAACGGAGAUUACGGACGGAAGUUUUCGGAUGGAAGACUGUAAUUCUUAGUGGCGGACGGGUGAGUAACGCGUGGGCAACCUGCCCUAUACAGGGGGAUAGCAGCUGGAAACGGCUGGUAAGACCGCAUAAGUCGGCGAGACCGCAUGGUUUUGCCGGGAAAUGAGCAAUCAGGUAUAGGAUGGACCCGCGUCCGAUUAGCCAGUUGGCAGGGUAAAAGCCUACCAAAGCAACGAUCGGUAGCCGGACUGAGAGGUCGGACGGCCACAUUGGGACUGAGACACGGCCCAAACUCCUACGGGAGGCAGCAGUGGGGGAUAUUGCACAAUGGAGGAAACUCUGAUGCAGCGACGCCGCGUGAGUGAAGAAGUAUUUCGGUAUGUAAAGCUCUAUCAGCAGGGAAGAUGAUGACGGUACCUGACUAAGAAGCCCCGGCUAACUACGUG
rnacentral:rRNA from 1 species